AAGGGCCAUUAACCCUUUCUCUGCCGGGCACACUCAGUCCCCACGCCCCACACCUAUUGUCUCCUGUGCUAGAAGCUUUGCAGAAAACCUGGAAAGGGAAAUCCUGAAAUAAAGAAAUGGUCACACAAGUGUCUGGGAUGAAACAGCUGGCCUGUCUAUAUUCAUCCUGAGACACACGACUGCAUAUAAAUACAUGUUUAAUAAAGUAUUUGCCAAGUCCUAAUUGCUGAAUAUAAUGAAUUGGAACUAGAUGCGAAAAUAGAGCAGGACCUCUCCCCUUGAUGAGUUUUUAUUCCAGCCAUAUAAUUCUCAAUAAAACUUUUCCUGGGCUGGAUAGCAAAGGACACCUUUGGUUACCUGAAUGAACAGGUACAGGGGAAAUUAUUUGGGGGAGGGAAAAAGGAGAGAAAAGCAAGGAGAGAGAGUGUGAGUGUAAGAGAAAGCGAAGAAGCCACUCUUGAGAAAAGCUUGCCAUAAAGGAGCUAAACCCACCUGAAAUUCCUACCCACGGACACCCCUUCUCACUUCAGACUCACAUCCCCACUCAAAAUGAGAAAAUUAGAAAAGGAGGAUGGAGGACGAGCACACCAAAAAGGGAUAAAAAGAGAGAAAAGGGGAGGAAAAAAAACCUACCUGCGAAGUCUUGUUUGUAGUUUUGGCCAGAAAUGGUGAGAAGAAAAAGCAUGAAGAAGCCGCGAAGUGUGGGGGAGAAAAAGGUGGAAGCGAAGAAACAGCUCCCGGAGCAAACUGUACAAAAACCUCGCCAAGAGUGUCGGGAGG
rnacentral:lncRNA from 1 species